CAUGUAUAAUAUAUAGAAAAAUCUUUAUUUUAUAUAAUUAUUGAUACACCCACUAUUAGGCUUCCAUAUUCAAUUACUGAAGGAGAUGGCGAUUAUAGAGAAUCUAAUUGAAAAGAUUUGGACUAUAGCUGGUGAUUUGUAGAUUUUAAGAUUGUUUUCCUUCUGUCUAGCUCCGAUCACUGUAGUUAGCUGGGAAGUAAGCUCCAUUCACAACAGCCUGUAGAUGGAAGUCACAGAUUACUCUACUGUUGUAACUAGGAAAACCCAUCUUUUGAUAUCAGAAUUGAUAUUAGCAGAGGGCUUCCUGAGGGUUAGUGAUGGGGAUGGGAUUACGGGUAGGGUUAGGUUUAGAUGUAGGCUCAGGGUUAAUGCUGUUUUAUGGUUAUGGAUAUUGUAGGGUUGAUGGUAAUGUUAGGGUAGGUAUGCGGUUAGUGUAAGCUUAGUGUUAGGAUUGGUAAAGGGCUUAUCCUUAAAAGGACACUUUAGGCACCAAAACAACUUUAGCUUAAUAGAGCAAUUUUGAUGUAUUGUGCAUGCCCCUGCUCACUGCUCAAUUCUUUUCUAUUUUGGAACCAAUUUUUAAAUGUUAUUUCUGGAUCUUUAUGUACAUUUGUAUUACUAAGAAGUGUGUUCUCUUUUAGUUGGAAUUACCGCCUGAAUAUUUUUUGGCAUUGAUUCUACCAGCUUAAAACAAAUCAUUUUCCAUUUGUUGCUUUGGAACCACAGUUCAAUAACCUUUUAUCAAGUGUUUGAUCAGUUCACUCUACCAAGAAGUUUUUUUCUGAAUGCUCCACAAAAUUUUUACUCUGUUUAAGUGUGGAGAAUUACCAGGCCAAACACCCAAAUCUGGUGUUUCUCUUAUCCAGCGAAAGUCAAAGUUUGAUAUAGCAGAAGGGUUAGUGUGGGGCCUUUGUAAUUUCUCAGAUCUAUAUGCAAAUAGAAGACAGACAAAAAAAAGGUAAGAAUAGUGUAGUGUAUCUUGGUAUUCGUUGGAGAGAUAUAGUAAGCAAAAUGUUCACUUUUCUGGAGCUUGAAUUCAGCUCCAACUUGGGAAGAAUAAUCACCGCCUAAGAAUAUGGUGUAAUAGUAAUAUAGCAAGCGGUCCUAAUGGUAGUAGAUAUAUUCAUUGAACGUGUAGGGUAGAACAGAGAAAAUAAGUGUGUAGUAUGUUACACUAUAUACUACUCUAUAUAAAGUAUUGCACUCACAUGAUAAGGAGCCUCUUGUAUUGGCUCCUGUAAUACCCACUCUAGGAUUUAUGUGUAGUGCAGAUCCUCCUCGUAUAUGUUGAGGAAAAAUACAACAAAGACAAUAGUGUACACUGAAAGUAGGGCUAAAAUAUUAAAAAAACCUACUUACAUAAGGUAGAGCAAAUAACGGCAUUGCUUAAUCCUGAGGGAGUAGGUGAUAUACAUCCCCCACUAAGGAUAUGUGAAGCAGUAGGGUGUUGAGGUCCAAUAAAUAAAUCUGUUCUUUUGUCUUGGGAAAGUUUUACCAAGAUGGCUACAUUUUGUUGUUUGGGGUUACAGAGCAAGUGUUUUCAUUAGAAGCAAUUUUACACCUGUAAGAGCUGAUCAUCUCUAACAGAUGUUUUAUUUUUUAUUUUCACAGGAGGUGGUUAUGAGAGCCUAGUUCCAACUAAUAGUAUGAUGAACUCUGCAAACUACAUAGAAAUCCUAAACAGGAGAGCUCUGCCAUUCCUAUGGACCCUUGCAGGGACAUUUCAUCAUGGCUUGCUCCAUGUCAUAAUUCACAAAGCUGUCAGGAUGUUCAUGCUAAAAACAAAAUUGAUGUGCUUGAUUGGCCUAAUAAUUCUCUGGACUUAAACCAAGAAGACGUAUUCUGAAGAAAGUACUUGGUAAACUGGACUGUUACAUGAAAGAAUGGUUGAUUAAAAAACAAAAAAACAUAAAAGUGUGGUUCCACAAGAAUGAAGUAAAGGAUAUUUGCUCUAAACUAGCAGAAUCAAUUCAAAAAGUUUUUUUAAAGAGGUAAAUUCUUACUAAUAUUAGGUAAUAAAAUAUAUAAUAUAAAAGAUAAGACACAAAAUUAAAACCACCUACCUAUUAUCGUGUAGGUCCCCCUCGCGUUGCCAAAGCAGCUCUGAUGCAUCAAGAAACCUCUGAAUGUGUCCUUUGGUAUCUGGUACCAAGAUAUUCGACGCAGAUUGCUUUAGCAGAUCCUACAGUUGCUCAAUCGGAUUGAGAUCUGGAGAAAUUAGAGGCCCCAGCAACACUUUGAACUCUUUUUCAUAUUCUACAAACAAUUCCUGAACAAUUUUUGUUAAAAGAGACCACUGCCAUCAGUUAACAUCAAUGCCAGGAAGGGGUGUACAUGGUCUGCAACAAGCGAAAAUAUUAAAUUGGAAGUGUUUUCAAGUUUUGCAACAAACUAGGGGGGAAAAAAUGCUUCUUGACCGCAGAAACGCAGUCAGAUCUCUUUGAUCUUGGGUCUCGAAUCUGUUACGCCACAUAUUAAAAAAGAUCCCUGAAAAUGAAAUGUGAUUGGACCAGACGGGCUAAUCUUCACUCUCCACAUGCAUCAAUAAGCCUUGGUUAUCCAUCACUCGGGUGCCAGUUCACCAGUUGUCCUACUUUGCACCACUUAUGGCAAGUACUAACCACCAUACCAGGAAAACAUUACAAGACUCGCUGUUUUGGAGAUUCUUUGACCCAGUCAUCUAGCCCUCACUCUUCUGCACUUGUCAAACUCAUUCAGAUCUUUUCACUUACCCAUUUUUCCUACUUCCAACACAUUACAAUUCAAUAAUGAACUGUUAACUUGCUGCCUAAUAUAUCCCACUACUUGACAGGUGCCAUUAUAACAAUAUAAUCAAUGUUAUUUACUUCACGUCAGUGGUUUUAAUGUUGUUUCUGAUCAGUAUAAGUGCAAAG